rnacentral:rRNA from 1 species
CUGGCGGCGUGCCUAAUACAUGCAAGUCGAGCGAAUCUUUGGGAGCUUGCUCCCAUUGGUUAGCGGCGGACGGGUGAGUAACACGUGGGCAACCUGCCUGUAAGACUGGGAUAACUUCGGGAAACCGGAGCUAAUACCGGAUAAUCUUUUUCCUCUCAUGAGGAAAAAUUGAAAGUUGGUUUCGGCUGACACUUACAGAUGGGCCCGCGGCGCAUUAGCUAGUUGGUGAGGUAACGGCUCACCAAGGCGACGAUGCGUAGCCGACCUGAGAGGGUGAUCGGCCACACUGGGACUGAGACACGGCCCAGACUCCUACGGGAGGCAGCAGUAGGGAAUCUUCCACAAUGGACGAAAGUCUGAUGGAGCAACGCCGCGUGAGCGAUGAAGGCCUUCGGGUCGUAAAGCUCUGUUGUUAGGGAAGAACAAGUGCCGGAGUAACUGCCGGCACCUUGACGGUACCUAACCAGAAAGCCACGGCUAACUACGUGCCAGCAGCCGCGGUAAUACGUAGGUGGCAAGCGUUGUCCGGAAUUAUUGGGCGUAAAGCGCGCGCAGGCGGUCCUUUAAGUCUGAUGUGAAAGCCCACGGCUCAACCGUGGAGGGUCAUUGGAAACUGGGGGACUUGAGUGCAGAAGAGGAAAGCGGAAUUCCACGUGUAGCGGUGAAAUGCGUAGAGAUGUGGAGGAACACCAGUGGCGAAGGCGGCUUUCUGGUCUGUAACUGACGCUGAGGCGCGAAAGCGUGGGGAGCAAACAGGAUUAGAUACCCUGGUAGUCCACGCCGUAAACGAUGAGUGCUAAGUGUUAGGGGGUUUCCGCCCCUUAGUGCUGCAGCUAACGCAUUAAGCACUCCGCCUGGGGAGUACGGCCGCAAGGCUGAAACUCAAAGGAAUUGAACGGGGG